UGUAAAAACUUCAUUUAGGAGUUCACCUAU
rnacentral:piRNA from 1 species